CCCCUUUCCCCCUGCCCUCCUCCUGGCCGUGAGCCACCAAGAUGAAAGCACAAUGGGAUAAUGUGGAGAGCCUUUCUCAUCACCAUGCACCCAUUGAUGAUGGUACUAUGGGUUCCAUCCGUGAUGCGAU